AAGAUAAUGAAAUAAAAUGUAAAGUGGCGCCACCUAUAGAACCAGGUGAGACGUGGCGAGGAACAAGGCAAGCAUUUCCCGCCUGAGCUUAGCCACAGGAACAAGCCACUCACCUGAGGGUUCCUUACGCCUGAUUGGUCCUAAAUAUUGGGUUAACGAGUGUGACGUGAUUGGCACGGAGGUCGUCCGACUCGCCCGAGGGAGUCGCACAUAGCCAACUUAUUAUCCUCGGGACGGAGGUGUAGAAGCAGGUGCGUACGAAGAUGAGUACGGCGCCGACGCGAGUGACGACAGAACAACAAACACUCGUGAACUACUAGCUACGCUCCGAUAUAUGUGCCAGUGCCAAAGCGUGAGCAAACAGUUUUGCAAUGUGGUUUUUUGUG